GGGCGAUUAGCUCAGUGGCAGAGCGUCUCGUUUACACCGAGAAGGCCGCAGGCUCAAUCCCUGCAUCGCCCA
rnacentral:tRNA from 1 species